rnacentral:SRP_RNA from 1 species
GCUGGGUGUGGUGGUGCAUGCCUGUAAUCCAAGCCACUUGGGAGGCUGAGGAAGGAGAAUUGCUUGAAUCCAUGAGGCAGAGGUUGCAGUGAACUGAGAUCACACCACUGCACUCCAGCCUGGGUGACAUGAGACUCAAUCUCAAAAAAAAAAAAAAAAAGAAAUAACUCUAAGAACAGUUUUGUUGUCAUUGUUUGUUUCUUUCAUUUUUUUUUGUUUGAGACAGAGUUUUGGUCCUGUUGCCCAGGCUGGAGUGCGGUGGUGUGAUCUCAGUUCACUGAAACCUCCGCCUCCUGGGUUCAAGCAAUUCUCCUUCCUCAG